rnacentral:rRNA from 1 species
UACGGAGGGUGCGAGCGUUGUCCGGAAUUAUUGGGCGUAAAGGGUGCGUAGGCGGUGCGGUAAGUCUUCUGUGAAAUCUACGGGCUUAACUCGUAGUCUGCAGGAGAAACUGCCGUGCUUGAGUAUGGGAGAGGUGAGUGGAAUUCCUGGUGUAGCGGUGAAAUGCGUAGAUAUCAGGAGGAACACCUGUGGCGAAAGCGGCUCACUGGACCAUAACUGACGCUGAGGCACGAAAGCUAGGGGAGCAAACAGG